rnacentral:rRNA from 1 species
CGAACGCUGGCGGCGUGCCUAACACAUGCAAGUCGUACGAGAAAAUCCGUUUCGGCGGAUGAGUAAAGUGGCGCACGGGUGAGUAACGCGUGGAUAAUCCGCCUUUAAGCUGGGAAUAACUCAUCGAAAGGUGGGCUAAUACCCGAUAAUGCUAUGCAGCUAAGGUUGUAUAGUCAAAGAGAGCCUCUGCUUGCAAGCCCUCACUUAGAGAUGAGUCCGCGUACCAUUAGCUAGUUGGUAGGGUAAUGGCCUACCAAGGCGAUGAUGGUUAGCUGGUCUGAGAGGAUGAUCAGCCACACUGGAACUGAGACACGGUCCAGACUCCUACGGGAGGCAGCAGUGAGGAAUAUUGCGCAAUGGGGGAAACCCUGACGCAGCAACGCCGCGUGAGUGAGGAAGGUUUUCGGAUCGUAAAGCUCUGUCGGGUGGGAAGAAAUGUAUGGAGGUUAAUAGCCUUUGUACUUGACGGUACCGCCAAAGGAAGCACCGGCUAACUCCGUG